GGAGGCGGGGGGUGAGGGGGGGACGACAGCCCAGACGCUCCUGACAUCUGUCGGCUGUGCUUGCAAGCUCGCGCGGGAGGUACCUUCCGAAGGGGAGCCUGCAUGCAAAGUUACAAUGAAAUGAUCUAAAAUAUAAGGCAAAAGAGUGUUUUAUAUGAUAUAAUAAAGUGGUGAGUGUGUCCCUACCGUGUGGUGUUGGCAGUGCAGAGCCUUGUGACAGUGCUUGCAGUGCAACUAACGGAGAAUUUACCGGGAUUAUUGAGGAAUAUAUAGACUUCGUCAUCCUUGCACAGGCGAUGAUGUUUAAGAAGGCCAGGACACCGUCAAAAUUCUAUAAUCACCAGAGAGUAACAGAUAAAAGAUAGUGAUAAGAGAUAUUGAAAAUAUAUCAAUGAAUGAUUAGUCACAUCUGAGCAUUGCUAUGCAUAUGUAUGUAAUAAUGAAUAAACAAAUACACACUGAAA